AAGUCGUAACAAGGUUCCUGCGGAAGGAUCAUUAACACGUAUCCAACGUUAAACCCCCCUGUGAAUUAUGUUGGACGCCUAUCCGUAGAAAGUGGUAAUCCCUGGUAAAUCAUCGCCGAACAGUUUUGAUUCAGGGACUUCUGCGUGGCGUGAUGCAAGUGACCUGGCAUCCCUAUGUCUGAAGUGUCACUAGCUCUGUACGGGUGGAGCAAUCACGAUCGCUAGAGACCAACACGGCCGGCGACCAGGUCACUGGGCCCUCGGCCCCUAGAUCACCUUUGCAUGAAAACGGGUCACUCUUAAUUGUGCGGCCACCAAACUCGAACAACUGUUAACAAUGGAUAUCUUGGUUCUC
rnacentral:misc_RNA from 1 species